rnacentral:rRNA from 1 species
GGUGAGGGGUAAAUGGCCUACCAAGGCGACGAUGGGUAGCCGGCCUGAGAGGGUGGCCGGCCACACCGGGACUGAGACACGGCCCAGACUCCUACGGGAGGCAGCAG